ACGGUUACCUUGUUACGACUUAGCCCCAGUCACCGGUUUUACCUUAGGGCGCUCCUUGCGGUUGCACACUUCAGGCACUCCCGGCUUCCAUGGCUUGACGGGCGGUGUGUACAAGGCCCGGGAACGUAUUCACCGCGCCGUGGCUGAUGCGCGAUUACUAGCGAAUCCAGCUUCAUGGAGUCGGGUUGCAGACUCCAAUCCGAACUGAGACAGGCUUUGAAGUUCCGCUCUGCGUCGCCGCAUCGCUUCUCUCUGUACCUGCCAUUGUAACACGUGUGUCGCCCCGGACGUAAGGGCCGUGCUGAUUUGACGUCAUCCCCGCCUUCCUCACAGCUUGCGCCGGCAGUCUCGCCAGAGUCCCCAACUUUACUUGCUGGUAACUGGCGAUGGGGGUUGCGCUCGUUAUGGCACUUAAGCCGACACCUCACGGCACGAGCUGACGACAACCAUGCAGCACCUCGACGGAUGCCCCGAAGGGCUGCCUUCUUUCAAAAACAUCCAUCCGUCGUUUGAGCCCGGGUAAGGUUCCUCGCGUAUCAUCGAAUUAAACCACAUGUUCCUCCGCUUGUGCGGGCCCCCGUCAAUUCCUUUGAGUUUCACCGUUGCCGGCGUACUCCCCANGUGGAAUACUUAACGCUUUCGCUGUACCACCCAGACCUCAAUCGGCCCGG
rnacentral:rRNA from 1 species